UACGGAAGGGGGCUAGCGUUGCUCGGAAUCAUCUGGGCGUAAAGCGCACGUAGGCGGAUUGCUAAGUCAGGGGUGAAAGUCCUCGGGAGCUCAACUCCAGGAACUGCCUUUGAUACUGGCGACCUUGAGUCCGGGAGAGGUGAGUGGAACUGCGAGUGUAGAGGUGAAAUUCGUAGAUAUCGGGAGGAACACCGGUGGCGAAGGCGGCGACCUGGGAACAA
rnacentral:rRNA from 1 species